rfam:Xenopus laevis strain J chromosome 4L, whole genome shotgun sequence.
GGGGGUGUAGCUCAGUGGUAGAGCGCAUGCUUGCAUGUAUGAGGCCCAGGGUUCAAUGCCCAGCAUCUCCA